GCCUCAGUGGUGCAACGGUUCAGCACGAGCUCGCGGAAUGAGUGAGGUCUGGGCUCGAAUCCCGGCUGGUGCA